rnacentral:rRNA from 1 species
UACGGAGGGUGCAAGCGUUAUUCGGAUUCACUGGGCGUAAAGGGUGCGCAGGCGGCCAAGUGUGUGAGGCGUGAAAGCCCGGGGCUUAACCCCGGAAUUGCACCUCAAACUACAUGGCUAGAGCAUUGGAGAGGGUAGCAGAAUUCAUGGUGUAGCAGUGAAAUGCGUAGAUAUCAUGAGGAAUACCAGAGGCGAAGGCGGCUACCUGGACAAUUGCUGACGCUCAGGCACGAAAGCAUGGGGAGCAAAAGGG